AGUCAACUGACAUUAGAUACCCCUGUAGUCCCAGCCGUAAACUAUGCGCGUUAGGUGUAUCGGUGACCACGAGUUACCGAGGUGCCGAAGGGAAACCGUGAAACGUGCCGCCUGGGAAGUACGGUCGCAAGGCUGAAACUUAAAGGAAUUGGCGGGGAGCACCACAACGGGUGGAGCCUGCGGUUUAAUUGGACUCAACGCCGGGAAGCUCACCGGAUAAGACAGCGGAAUGAUUGCCGGGCUGAAGACUCUGCAUGACUAGCUG
rnacentral:rRNA from 1 species